rnacentral:rRNA from 1 species
AGUGACAGGUGCUGCAUGGCUGUCGUCAGCUCGUGCCGUGAGGUGUUGGGUUAAGUCCCGUAACGAGCGCAACCCUUGUCCUGUGUUGUAUUUUUCACAGGAGACUGCCCCGCACAACGGGGAGGAAGGUGGGGAUGACGUCAAGUCAGCAUGGCCUUUAUAUCUCGGGCUACACACACGCUACAAUGGCCGGUACAAUGGGUCGCGACGCCGCGAGGUUUUAGCUAAUCCCAUCAAAACCGGUCUCAGUUCAGAUUGGAGGCUGCAACUCGCCUCCAUGAAGUCGGAGUUGCUAGUAAUCGCGGGUCAGCAUACUGCGGUGAAUAUGUUCUCGGACCUUGUACACACCGCCCGUCACGUCCCGAAAGUAGGCAAUACCCGAAGCCAGUGAGCUAACCCGCCUCGGCGGGAGGCAGCUGUCGAAGGUAGGGUCAAUGAUUGGGACGAAGUCGAAACAAGGUAGCCGUACGGGAACGUGCGGCUGAAUCACCUCCUUUCUAAGGAG